rnacentral:rRNA from 1 species
CCGGUAAACGGCGGCCGUAACUAUAACGGUCCUAAGGUAGCGAAAUUCCUUGUCGGGUAAGUUCCGACCUGCACGAAUGGCGUAAUGAUGGCCAGGCUGUCUCCACCCGAGACUCAGUGAAAUUGAACUCGCUGUGAAGAUGCAGUGUACCCGCGGCAAGACGGAAAGACCCCGUGAACCUUUACUAUAGCUUGACACUGAACAUUGAGCCUUGAUGUGUAGGAUAGGUGGGAGGCUUAGAAGUGUGGACGCCAGUCUGCAUGGAGCCGACCUUGAAAUACCACCCUUUAAUGUUUGAUGUUCUAACGUUGACCCGUGAUCCGGGUUGCGGACAGUGUCUGGUGGGUAGUUUGACUGGGGCGGUCUCCUCCUAAAGAGUAACGGAGGAGCACGAAGGUUGGCUAAUCCUGGUCGGACAUCAGGAGGUUAGUGCAAUGGCAUAAGCCAGCUUGACUGCGAGCGUGACGGCGCGAGCAGGUGCGAAAGCAGGUCAUAGUGAUCCGGUGGUUCUGAAUGGAAGGGCCAUCGCUCAACGGAUAAAAGGUACUCCGGGGAUAACAGGCUGAUACCGCCCAAGAGUUCAUAUCGACGGCGGUGUUUGGCACCUCGAUGUCGGCUCAUCACAUCCUGGGGCUGAAGUAGGUCCCAAGGGUAUGGCUGUUCGCCAUUUAAAGUGGUACGCGAGCUGGGUUUAGAACGUCGUGAGACAGUUCGGUCCCUAUCUGCCGUGGGCGCUGGAGAACUGAGGGGGGCUGCUCCUAGUACGAGAGGACCGGAGUGGACGCAUCACUGGUGUUCGGGUUGUCAUGCCAAUGGCACUGCCCGGUAGCUAAAUGCGGAAGAGAUAAGUGCUGAAAGCAUCUAAGCACGAAACUUGCCCCGAGAUGAGUUC